GCCUUGUUAGCUCAGUUGGUAGAGCAUAAGGAUCUUACAGUCUCUCUGACCGGGUAAGAGUCUUGAGGUGCGGGUUCGAUUCCUGCGCAAGGCA